rnacentral:rRNA from 1 species
UACGUAGGGUGCAAGCGUUAAUCGGAAUUACUGGGCGUAAAGCGUGCGCAGGCGGUUUUGUAAGUCUGUCGUGAAAGCCCCGGGCUCAACCUGGGAAUUGCGAUGGAGACUGCAAGGCUAGAAUCUGGCAGAGGGGGGGUAGAAUUCCACGUGUAGCAGUGAAAUGCGUGAGAGAUGUGGAGGAACACCGAUGGCGAAGGCAGCCCCCCUGGGUCAAGAUUGACGCUCAUGCACGAAAGCGUGGGGAGCAAACAGG